AUGUUGUUAAUCACGUGUUCAGAAAGCAAGGCAGGCAACUGCUUGGUCCCAGAGGGCUGGCAGAUUUGGAAUUACAGCAACGACAAUAAGAAGGGGGGAAAGCAAGACUGGGAUACAAAUAUGAAUGGCCUGCUCAUCCUGGGUGUAUUGCUGUUUAUUCCAGGGCAAAGUGGUGCUAACCAUGCCAGCACCAGCCCUCAAUCUAUUCCCAGUGAAUCCACAACUAAUGUAUCAACAACAACUUCCACUGGUUCUACAAGCAGGACUGAAUCUCAGCCUGCCACUUACACUGUCUCCACUACCAGCAUCACCACCACCACCACCCCUGUGAGAACAGGAACCACCACCCGAAGUGUUUUUCUACAUUUCACAGCUAAAUGCCGUGACCUGUACAUACUGUCUGGCAUACUGUUAUUAAUCGCCGUUAUUUUUAUUAUAUCGACACUGAUGUUGCUGUGCAAGGUGUGCCAGUUGAGGAGACGUCUGAGAACCGAUGGCGAAUCUGUCAGCAACAACGAGUACUGGAUGAGGACUGACAAUAGGGACAAAAGCAAGCCUGACUCUGAGAGAGAAGCCAAAGAGAGCACCAUGUUAAUGGCUGAGCUAACUCCAGCACAAGGGGAGACAAAUAACGGCACCAUCAAAGAAGACGGUGAGAAGGUAAAGGAAGAUGAGAAAACACCAGAGGAGAAGGCAGUGGGAGAUGCGGCCAACAGCGAGGAGGCUUCAGCCGCACCUGUAACUGCAGCUGAAGAUUCACCCUCCCCCAACCCACAGGCGGCCACCGAAGCCCAGCCCAGCCAAGCUGUGGAAGCAGCCUCCUCUGAGGGCAAAGAGGAAGGUGAUGUAGAAAAGAAAUAGGAAGAUUCCCAUCUCAUUCCUAAGAUUCCCACAACUUCUAAAUGCUCGGGUUUUAUGGAUGUCUUACACUGUGUGUUUCAUACUUUGAAUAGCUCAUGAAAUAACUCAAGAAACUGCCCCCUUUUGUGUUCUUAUACAGCCUGCAUCACUCUUCUUAUAUAUUGGAUAAGAAAAAUGGGAUAGUGAUCAACUUCUUGAGUAAAUCGUAGCACAAGACGUUGAUGUCUGAUAAGACAAGCUAAAUAUAUGAACAUUUUGUUUUCUUUGCCAGAGGAUGUGAUGUGGAGUUUUGUGUAUAGCUGCCUUUAUUUCACUUUGUUUAAAGCCUUUAACUGUAAUUUUUUUUUCCAGGCAGAUUUUUUGUUCUAUUUUUGAUUAACAAAAUCAAUUUGAUAAUCAACCAGCUGUGUGUAUUCUAAGCUAGUCAACCAUUUCUUACUGGAAAAACAACAGAGUGAUGUUGCUUCCAAUUCUUGUGUGUGAAAAUUAAAAUAUUUUAACAUUAGAAUAAGCUUUUUGUUUCUUUCCCCCCAGCUCAACUUGUGUUUCACACUUUUUCCUCUCUUACUCUAAUUUGACAAUCACGCAACCAGCACAACAGAGAUCCAUCAUUCAGAGUCAUCAUUGGCCCUUCAGCUGUGUAACGAGCUGGCUUUCGUGUGUGUGUGUGUGUGUGUGUGUGUGUGUGUGUGUGUGUGUGUGUGUGUGUGCGGUCUGCUUGAUUAGCAAGCAGAGAAUGUGCGUCCUCCAGGCAGUGCCACUCAACUCUAAAAGAAUGCUCUCUUUCACCUCAGCCAGAGCUGACAAAAGACAUACAUAGAAGCACAGACACACACACACACACAGAAAACUUUUCCAAAAAACCAAUACGGGGUUGUUUCCGCUGUCAUGUGCAGAACUUUGUUUAUCCUCAUGCAGGUGACGUCAUGAUGAAUGUGCACCUUUCUUUAACAGUUCUGAAUAGUUUGUUCUCUGCUGAGCU
rnacentral:lncRNA from 1 species